GACGAACGCUGGCGGCGUGCCUAAUACAUGCAAGUUGAGCGCUGAAGGUUGGUACUUGUACCAACUGGAUGAGCAGCGAACGGGUGAGUAACGCGUGGGGAAUCUGCCUUUGAGCGGGGGACAACAUUUGGAAACGAAUGCUAAUACCGCAUAAAAACUUUAAACACAAGUUUUAAGUUUGAAAGAUGCAAUUGCAUCACUCAAAGAUGAUCCCGCGUUGUAUUAGCUAGUUGGUGAGGUAAAGGCUCACCAAGGCGAUGAUACAUAGCCGACCUGAGAGGGGGGUCGGCCACAUUGGGACCGAGAAACGGCCCAAACUCCUACGGGAGGCAGCAGGAGGGAAUCUUCGGCAAUGGACGGAAGGCUGACCGAGCAACGCCGCGGGAGUAAAGAAGGGUUUCGUAUCGUAAAACUCUGUUGAUAGGGAAGAAAGUUGGUGGGAGUGGAAAGCUCAUCAAGUGACGGUAACUACUCAGAAAGGGACGGCUAACUACGUG
rnacentral:rRNA from 1 species